GGGGGCCCGCACAAGCGGAGGAACAUGUGGUUUAAUUCGAUGAUACGCGAGGAACCUUACCCGGGAUUGAAAUGUAGAUGACGGAUGGUGAAAACCGUCUUCCCUUCGGGGCUUCUAUGUAGGUGCUGCAUGGUUGUCGUCAGCUCGUGCCGUGAGGUGUCGGCUUAAGUGCCAUAACGAGCGCAACCCACAUCGGUAGUUGCUAACAGUUUUCGCUGAGGACUCUACCGAGACUGCUGUCGUAAGGCGCGAGGAAGGUGUGGAUGACGUCAAAUCAGCACGGCCCUUACAUCCGGGGCGACACACGUGUUACAAUGGGAGGGACAAAGGGCAGCUACCGGGCGACCGGAUGCGAAUCUCUAAACCCUUCCCCAGUUCGGAUCGGAGUCUGCAACUCGACUCCGUGAAGCUGGAUUCGCUAGUAAUCGCGCAUCAGCCAUGGCGCGGUGAAUACGUUCCCGGGCCUUGUACACACCGCCCGUCAAGCCAUGGGAGUCGGGGGUACCUGAAGGGCGUAACCGCAAGGGGCGCACUAGGGUAAUACCGGUGACUGGGGCUAAGUCGUAACAAGGUAGCCG
rnacentral:rRNA from 1 species